UUCUUUCCUCAUCUAUGUUUUUCGUGUUGCAGUUGUGGCCCAUGUGCUAGAAGUAAUCCCCGACCUCAGGCAAUGGAUCAAUGGCUUAGUGUCUCAGAAGUCUUACUCCGAGCGUGCUUAGACAGAGAUAUCAAAGGGUCAAUGGAGGCUUGAAACCACGGUCUCGGGAAGGAUGUAACAAUGAGGCCCUCGUCUGGUGAUGAAGAAUCCUUCCCCCACCAUCUGUCUCGAAACCGGCAAAGGAGAAGAAGAGAAAAAGGGCUUCGGUUUCCACGAACUCUGAGGGGCAGAAAACCCCAAAAGAAAAUAGCCCUAAACCUAAGGGGAACGUCAUCCCUAUAACUUUGGAGUCAGUCCAACGGCUAAGGGAUGAUGCCGAAGAAGAAGAAGACUCCGGGCUGGUGGACCGUGUGCGAGCUGGCACCGAGAUCCAAGGAACUACUAGGUCGGCGGGAGAUGAAAGUGUUCUGUCUCGAUUUGAUGAAGUCCCCGAGCCAGAAAGAGCUGGAGACACUUCACCUCGAGGUGAGAGGGCUAUCGAAGAGGCGGUCGAUGUUGGUGUAAUAACCAUGCUCGAGACUUCAAGAGAUGAAGGCAGUGCCCAAAAGAUUUACUUGGGAUAGUAGAUAUCGGAUAUUCUACUUUGUUUCCUUCAUUCACUGAGUCGAUGAUACAUGAAGCUUAGGCGAUGGAGACUUGCCACGGGGGAUGAGUCCAUGGAGUAGAAGACCCUUUCCGUGGCUAUUUUGUUGGAGUGGAAGAUGUCACCGGUCUAGGUGACUUGGAUGUACUGAGGAAGAGAUCGAGUGAGGCUUCCUCGAGCAUUAAACUGACCAUUCAGAUUUUGGCCCUCAGUGUCGAUCCCGGGCGUAGUGAUCAAUUAUCAUCUCGGUCCCGAAGGAUGCUCGAGUUUUUUCUGCCCCCGUAGGGGUGGCUAGCUAUCUCCGAUGUUUAGUCACCGAAGAAGUCCAAGCCAAGAUGGAUGAGGUGGAAGUUGCCUGUUUGUUCAACAAGGCCCAGCAUGCUCUAAAUUGGGCUUAGGUGUUUCAUCACGAGGCUUUCAUUAGAAUACGAGAGGAGCAUAAGACUGAGGUUUAGAGCCUUACUGAGAAAAGUGAUACCUAUAAGCUUCUCAAUAAGAAGCUUUAGGCAAAUCUGAUGAUGGCUCGAGAUGAAGAUGCUGAGAUGGCCAAGCAGCUUUGAUGGAGGCUCGAACAGAUCAAGGACCUUCAGAGACAAAUAGAUGAAAUACGAGACGAAGCUGAAAAGUUCAAGGGGUGUAUGGACAUCUUAGCUUCAAAAAAAGAGGCCGUCCAAGCAUAGCUGGAGUCGGCCGAGUCUCAGCUUCGGACUGCAAGGGAGAAAGCCUUGGUACAAGCAAAGAAAAUUAAGGAGCUUCAGUCCAACUUAGCCGACUUGGCCAAAGAGCUCGAAAUGGUUAAAUCUGAGACGGAGGGGCCAACAUCAAGGCCCAAGUAUAUGUGACCCAAUACAAGGUCGGUGUCGAAGCUACUCAAGCACAAGACAAGAUCAUGGUGGAUCAUGCGAAGUGGCAAGCUCGAAGGGAGGCCCUCGAGGGAACCCUUGUUCAGGGUUUUGAUAUAUCCGCUGAAAUUGAGAUUGCUAGAGCAAAAAAAAUAAGGGCUCGAAAACUGGCUUUCCCUGAGGAAGACUCCAAGAGUUUGAGCGAAUCUGGUGGAGAAGACUUUGAGGGCAAAGAAACUUCCUCCGAGAAGGACCAGG